rnacentral:siRNA from 1 species
CGAUUUUGGGAUGUCUAAUAGA